UAUGUUGCUUUUGCACACUACUCUACCAUGCUUUGUGGAGUGCCUGUACUCUGCUCAGAUCCUUAUAAAUAGUGCCUUUAUUCUCUUUACAUUGUUCAGUUGGACUGUGUCAUCAGUUUCUUUCUGGACAUUCGCUGGCAGCGAAAUCGCUUCUAUAAGUGGCUUUAGGAGAAAGCUGUUCAGCAUCGGACUCUGGGUUUGGCUAGUCAUGUAUUUGAAGAACAUAGAACAUAGAGACCCUCCUCCAUCUAUUCCAUUUGCUCCUAUUCAGUCAACGACAGGUGAAAUGCUUUUGUCUGAGAUGUGGAGGCAGGGGAGAGAGUAGAGUGUGGACCCACAGCUGCGCCCCUGGAACUUGUCUGGAUCCCCCUUGCUCCUUUGCUGUCCACCGAUCCUCUAAACUGGUGUCCACAGAGGAGCCUCAGCUGGGUCUGGACGCAGCCAUCUUCUCCUCCCACCAUCCUCACCUCCGACUGUCCCUGCCAUACUCUUAGUCUUCAUCUUGAGGGUCCCUGGGUGUUUGGGAAUACAAAGGAGAUUUUCCAGUCCUCUCUCCUCGAGGACAGAGAACAACAGAAAUAAAAUAAGAAGGGAAGGAGAAGUAUGGACAUUUAACUUAGUCCCAAGUGGCCAAGAGAUGGUGGCAGAAGGUAACUGGAGAUUUAUCUUUCUUCAAGGAAGACAUUUUGAACAGACUUUUUUUUUUUUUUUCUCCUUUCAAGAAUGAUCAGCAGUCAGGCCAAGUCCUGACAUUGAUAUAAACACCAGUCUGGCCAGGAAGCACACAUUUCUAACAGGUAUCUCAUCAAUUUUGACAAGAUACUGUGUUCAAGACACAGUACAGAGAUAAGGAAGAAGGCAUCUGUAUUUAUUAGGCUGGGUGCUAUCGGGGAAGCUAUAGCUAUGUUAAAAAUAACAUGUGAUUCAAAGUUCACAGGAUAAAUAUAGCUAGCUGGGAACAAAUGAGUAAUGUCGAUACGGAGGGCUGUGCUCCCGACCUGAGGAUUCUGAGGGCUGAAAUUCAUUUUGACUUUUGACAUUCCUUAGGCAUUCGCAAGGUACAUUUACGCUCUUGGGAUUGGAGGCAGCCACGCCAUAAAUAAGAGCCUAAGGAAAUAACAACAUUCUUUAUUUUACGACUGCAUUCUCGUUCGGAUCGUGUCAUUCUUGUAUUCUUGGGUUUCCGUCGGCCCUUUCCUGGUAUGGCCGUGCUAUAAAACCUCUUCCUGUAAUCAUAGCGUGUAGAAAGCUGCCCUUUCUACACUUGGAAAAGGCCAGCUAGCGCUCAGGACUCACUGUCACAAGGUAUAUGCUGCGUUGUUGCUUGGCUCUAGCGCUGUCUGUUGUUUUUGCUUGAUGGGUGUAAGGAAUUGAGCCCAUGGCCUCUCCUGUGCAAAGCGUGCACUGCCCCAAGAAACUGUCCCCUCUCAGGGAACUGCACCCUCGGACCCCGACCUAAUUUUUAAAAUCAUGUAUUUUUUUCUUUUUUUUCUUUUGUGGGCUUUGUAGAAAGCCCCCCUUUCAGAAUUCUAGCCAUUUUACCUGUUUUUUCGAAGGGUCUUGGCUCCUUGUGGGUCAGCAGAGACAGCGCAACCUGGGGACGCAUCACCAAUGCACAUUCUUUGGUCCACCCUACCGCCCUACUAUACCAGGAACUGUGGGAGUGGGACCCCGCGAUGAUGCUACAUUAACAAGCCUUCUGGAAAAUUCUUUUUUAUAUGUUAAUUACAGUGUAUUAGCUUUGUAUUCUAGGUGUAGCCUCCUCCCUCAUUCCCUCCCAACUGAUAGGCAAGAUCCUCCUCCCUGUCCAUCUGAGUACCCCACUAAUGGGAACAGGGGCUCUCACUGACAUGAACUCUGUGGCUGGCUCUUUGACCACCUCCCCCUGAGAGGGGAACAGCCUUGCCAGGCUACAGAGGAGGACAAUGCAGCCAGUCCUGAUGAGACCUGAUAAACUAGGGAAAUUCUUAUGUUGGCUUCAGAACCACAGUUUUACCAGGAGAACGAAAGGAAAUAGCGUCCCCUUGAGGCCACGUGACCACAGCCACCAGAAGUGGUUGUAUAUUCCCGGGGGGUCCAGAGACAAGGGUACAGGUUUGUAAAUCCUAAUGUUGCUCUCCAUACAAAGAGCCUAUUCCCGGCAACUUCGGAGGCUCCAGCUUGAUUUAACUAAGGGAUGGUGCUGUUUUGAAGACAGGUGAGCAUGGGUGUAUUAAAAAAAAAAAUUAGUAUUUGCUUAUCUGUCUAUCCCAUUUUUGUUCUAAGUUCAUUUCCAUAUUCAGUACCUUGCAAGUGCCCUCCAUUGAAUGGUCUCUCAGCCUUAUCUCAGACAUCUGCAGCAGUAUCCUGGUCUCAUCUCCAGCUCUUCCUUGCUUCCCACACGGAGAAAUGCUGCUUGCUUUCUUCAGUUUAACGCUGCUCGGGCAACAGCAGGAGCCCUACAUGCCUUCUACGGCGUGCCCUUUGCUAGGAGCAGCUCCCAGAGGGCAGGACCCACGGUUUACUCCCUCUGAGCCUGUCUUAGCACAGUGUUCUUGGUGAGAGAUGAUGUGAAAAUGUUUUCAAACGAAUAAGUGGAUUAACACAGUCCGCAGUGUGCAUGCAUCAGCCAUUCCUGGAAUGUCCCAGCUGUCUUCCUUCAUGCAGUUCCUCUCAGUGUGAAAUGUCCUGUGUCCAUCUUCAGGCUUUCUAACCCCACCUGUUCUUUCAGACUCAUUCAGAGUGAACUGCAGGCUGUGGAAUGUGCUCUUGGUGUCACAGUCAGCAUCUGGUGAAACCACUGAGUCCCACUGUUUUGGGGAUGAUUACAAGGAAAAGAAAACAAUGAUGCAGCAUUUUAUAUAUACAUACAUAUACACACACAUACAUAUAUGCAUAUAUGUGUGUAUACAUUUGUGUUGGCUGAGGACUUAACAAGUUCUAUAUCACCUUAAUUUUAUAAUCAGUUUGAGUAAGAUGAUAUCAUCAUCAUCAUCAUUAUCAAAUAUGAAAUGGAGGAAAGCCGGCCUUAAGUAAUUUGCUCAAGAAGUAAAGUGAGACAUGUCAAAGCUGGUAUUAAAACCCAGGUUUGAUCCACUCUUAAUGUCAAUGCUCUUAAUUUAAGUCCAAGUAGGUGCUAGACAAAGCACAGAUAUUCAAGACAUUCAAAUUCAAGAAUUAUGAAUAUAAAUAGACCACUAGAAAUCUGGACUGAUUUUUUUUUCUUUUUUUGGUACAAGAUCUCACUACACAGUCCAAGUUAACCUAUAUCUCGGUUCUCCUGGGAUAACAUACAGGCACUACCAUGCAUUAGAAAUUGGAAUUGAUAUACCAGUCAGUGAAUGCAAGUACAUUGGUGUCCAGCCAGUUAGGCAUUACUCUAGGAGCAGGAAAAUAUAGAGCAUAAAUAAUAUUGAUAGGUCCCUGAUUUUUUUUUUUUUUACUCUGCAAUAAAAAAUAAGGAAAUCAUGAAAUUUGCAGGUAAAUGGUGGGACCUGGAAAGGAUCAUCCUGAGUGAGCUGUCCCAGAAGCAGAAAGAUACACACGGUAUAUACUUACUCAUAUAGACAUAUAACAUAGGAUAAACCUACUAAAAACUGUACAUCUAAAGAAACUAAUCAAGAGAGAGGACUCUGACUAAAAUGCUCAAUCCCCACCCCAAAAGGCAAAGAGGAUAGACAUCAGAAGAAGAAUAAAACAGGAAACAACCUAGGAACCUGCCACAGAGGGCCUCUGAAAGGCUCUGUCCUGCAGACUAUCAAAGCAGACGCUGAGACUUAUGGCCAACUGUUGGGCAGAGUGCAUGGAAUCUUAUGUAAGAAAUGGGAAAUAGUAAGAGCUGGAGAGGACAGGAACCCCACAAGGAGAGAAACAGAACCAGAAAAUUUGAACACAGGGGUCUUCCCAGAGACUCAUACUCCAACCAAGUAGCAUGCAUGGAGAUAACCUAGAAUCCCUGCACAGAUGUAGCCCAUAGCAGUUCAGUGUCCAAGUUGAUUCCGUAGUAAUGGGAAGAGGGACUGUCUCUGAAAUAAUCUGAUUGGCCUGCUGAUCACCUCCCCCUGAGGGGGGAGCAGCCUUACCAGGCCACAGAAGAAGACAAUGCAGCCACUCCUGAUGUGAUCUGAAAGACUAAGAUCAGAAGGAAGGAGAGGAGGACCUCCCCUACCAGUGGACUUGGGGAGGGGCAUUCGUGAAGAAGGGGGAGGGAGGGUGGGACUGGGCGGGGAGGAGGGAAGAGCUUAUGGGGGGAUACAAAGUGAAUAAAGUGUAAUUAAUAAAAAAGUUUAAAAAAUGUAGUUUAAAAAUAUCUAUCGUCAUACUCUUGAACUGACUGAUUUUUGCAGAAACAAUAAAUUAUUUUAUAGAUAGGAUGACACAACAAAAGUGGUACAUUUAGAGUUAUCUACAGAUACUUUGUCUAAUAGCAAAUGUAUCCACAAACAUAGCUCAUGUACUAAUUGUAAGUGAAGGAUAGACACUGCUCACGUUCCAGGCGGAAAAGGAUUCUGCAAACAGGAGUGUGAUCAGAAGAGAGGGGUGCUGCAGUUGACUGGCAAUGCCCGGCGUCAGGGAGGCGAUGAGGAAGCAUGGCAAA